GUUUGAUCCUGGCUCAGAUUGAACGCUGGCGGCAUGCCUUACACAUGCAAGUCGAACGGUAACAGGUUAAGCUGACGAGUGGCGAACGGGUGAGUAAUAUAUCGGAACGUGCCCAGUUGUGGGGGAUAACUACUCGAAAGAGUGGCUAAUACCGCAUGAGACCUGAGGGUGAAAGCGGGGGAUCGCAAGACCUCGCGCAGUUGGAGCGGCCGAUAUCAGAUUAGCUAGUUGGCGGGGUAAAAGCCCACCAAGGCGACGAUCUGUAGCUGGUCUGAGAGGACGACCAGCCACACUGGGACUGAGACACGGCCCAGACUCCUACGGGAGGCAGCAGUGGGGAAUUUUGGACAAUGGACGCAAGUCUGAUCCAGCCAUGCCGCGUGUGGGAAGAAGGCCUUCGGGUUGUAAACCACUUUUGUCAGGGAAGAAACGGCUCGGGUUAAUACCUUGGGCUAAU
rnacentral:rRNA from 1 species